rnacentral:rRNA from 1 species
AGCAGUCGCCGCGGUAAUACGUAGGUCCCGAGCGUUGUCCGGAUUUAUUGGGCGUAAAGCGAGCGCAGGCGGUUAGAUAAGUCUGAAGUUAAAGGCUGUGGCUUAACCAUAGUAUGCUUUGGAAACUGUUUAACUUGAGUGCAGAAGGGGAGAGUGGAAUUCCAUGUGUAGCGGUGAAAUGCGUAGAUAUAUGGAGGAACACCGGUGGCGAAAGCGGCUCUCUGGUCUGUAACUGACGCUGAGGCUCGAAAGCGUGGGGAGCAAACAGGAUUAGAUACCCGGGUAGUCCCUGUCUCUUAUACA